GAGAGUAUAGCUCAGUGGUGGAGUGCAUGUCUAGCAUGCACAAGGUCCUGGGUUCAAUCCUCAGUACCUCCA
rnacentral:tRNA from 1 species